rnacentral:rRNA from 1 species
UAGGGAAUCUUCGGCAAUGGGGGCAACCCUGACCGAGCAACGCCGCGUGAGUGAAGAAGGUUUUCGGAUCGUAAAGCUCUGUUGUAAGAGAAGAACGUGUGUGAGAGUGGAAAGUUCACACAGUGACGGUAACUUACCAGAAAGGGACGGCUAACUACGUGCCAGCAGCUGCGGUAAUACGUAGGUCCCGAGCGUUGUCCGGAUUUAUUGGGCGUAAAGCGAGCGCAGGCGGUUUAAUAAGUCUGAAGUUAAAGGCAGUGGCUUAACCAUUGUUCGCUUUGGAAACUGUUACACUUGAGUGCAGAAGGGGAGAGUGGAAUUCCAUGUGUAGCGGUGAAAUGCGUAGAUAUAUGGAGGAACACCGGUGGCGAAAGCGGCUCUCUGGUCUGUAGCUGACGCUGAGGCUCGAAAGCGUGGGGAGCAAACAGG